rnacentral:rRNA from 1 species
AUACCGCGUGUGUGAAGAAGGCCUUCGGGUUGUAAAGCACUUUAAGCAGGGAGAAAAAGUUAUAAGUUAAUACCUUAUAACCCUGAUGUUACCUGCAGAAUAAGCACCGGCUAAUUCCGUGCCAGCAGCCGCGGUAAUACGGAAGGUGCAAGCGUUAAUCGGAAUUACUGGGCGUAAAGCGCGCGUAGGUGGUUUGUUGAGUUGGAUGUGAAAGCCCUGGGCUCAACCUAGGAACUGCAUCCAAAACUAACUCACUAGAGUACGAUAGAGGGAGGUAGAAUUCAUAGUGUAGCGGUGGAAUGCGCAGAUAUUAUGAAGAAUACCAGUGGCGAAGGCGGCCUCCUGGAUCUGUACUGACACUGAGGUGCGAAAGCGUGGGUAGCGAACAGGAUUAGAUACCCUGGUAGUCCACGCCGUAAACGAUGUCAACUAGCUGUUGGAAAACUAUGUUUUUCAGUGGCGCAGCUAACGUAGUAAGUUGACCGCCUGGGGAGUACGGCCGCAAGGCUAAAACUCAAAUGAAUUGACGGGGACCCGCACAAGCGGUGGAGCAUGUGGUUUAAUUCGAUGCAACGCGAAAAACCUUACCUAUACUUGACAUACUUGGAAUGCUUUGUAAUGAAGCAGUGCCCUCGGGAGCCAAGAUACAGGUGCUGCAUGGCUGUCGUCAGCUCGUGUCGUGAGAUGUUCCGUUAAGUCGGAUAACGAGCGCAACCCUUACCCUUAUUUGCC